rnacentral:misc_RNA from 1 species
GAAAUGCGAUAAGUAAUGUGAAUUGCAGAAUUCAGUGAAUCAUCGAAUCUUUGAACGCACAUUGCGCUCGCCAGUAUUCUGGCGAGCAUGCCUGUUCGAGCGUCAUUUCAACCAUCAAGCUCUGCUUGCGUUGGGGAUCCGCGGCUGCCCGCGGUCCCUCAAAAACAGUGGCGGGCUCGCUAGUCACACCGAGCGUAGUAACUCUACAUCGCUAUGGUCGUGCGGCGGGUUCUUGCCGUAAAUCCCCCAAUUUCUAAGGUUGACCUCGGAUCAGGUAGGAAUACCCGCUGAACUUAAGC